ACCCUAGUUUUGUUUUUUGUUUCUGAUUUCUUCAUUGUGAGAACAACGUAGGGAUCAGCCUUGCCCAUCAAAUCUACCACUGGCAAAUCUUCAGCAGAUAUCACAGUCACGGAAAGAACUCCUCUAACUAUGACCUCCCUUCUCCUUUGUGUAAUUGCGUUUCCGUUUCCAGUGACUUCAAUCCCAUCCGCCCCACUUUUAAGAACCUUCUCCAAGGAGGUCAUUGAGAAGCUCGAAGCAAAUGGGUUUGUAAAGCCAUUCUCCAUACCAAAAGGACAGUACAAAAGCUCCAAGUGAACCUAAAAAAAUUAAAGUGAAAAUUGAGGCAGCAAUAAAUUUUUGGCUUAAAAUGAAAAGCCAACUUUUUUCUUGCUGCAACAUGCAGUUGCAGAGAAAUAAAUUAAAAUGGUAUUCAGAUGCAAAAAAGUGAGUUCCGAGGUCACAUGUUAGAAACUGUGAUCAACAAAAAUAAAUUACCAGUAACUGAAUAUCCAACCAACUCAAACUCUUAAGUUGAGCUUUGUAAUCAAUUCAAUCAAUUAUUAUAAAGGUUACCACAAAGGCCUGAAUGUCUACCCAAAAUUUAUACUGGAUUUAGCAAGGGCUGGACCUUGAUGAAACCACUACAUCCAAUAUAUGAAAGAAACACCAGGUGGAAUGAUAAAUUAUCAUUCAAAGACUGGUAGAAAAUAUUAGGGAAUGCAAAGCUAAUAGUUAUCCAAAAGAAAGAAAAGCAUAUAGCGUAACUGAGGAUUCAUAAAGCACUGACAAAAAGAAAGGAUGGAAAAUUGACAAUUAAAUACCCUAUAUGUUUAUUCAUUAAGCCAAUUGGUUCAGCUAGUGUAAUCUUUCAAUUCCAACUAUUAGUAACAUUUUAAUUAGCUGAAUUUAUUUUUAUUAUCACUGACGAAAAGAAACAAUGGCAAAUUGACAAAGAAGAGAUGAACAAAAGGAUAGCAAAAUGUCUCUUAAAUUUUCAAAAGAAGAUACAGAUGUCUCUCAUAAUUUUUAAGUAAUCUACUUCUAAAGCAGAGUAGUCGACAUUCUC
rnacentral:misc_RNA from 1 species